UACGUAGGUGGCGAGCGUUGUCCGGAACUAUUGGGCGUAAAGGGCCCGUAGGCGGUUCGGAAAGUCUCCUGUUAAAUCUCCCGGCUUAACUGGGAGCCGUCGGGGGAUACUUCCGGACUUGAGACCAUCAGAGGCAAGCGGAAUUCCCGGUGUAGUGGUGAAAUGCGUAGAUAUCGGGAGGAACACCAGUGGCGAAAGCGGCUUGCUGGGGUGGUUCUGACGCUGAGGGGCGAAAGCGUGGGGAGCAAACCGGAUUAGAUACCCUCGUA
rnacentral:rRNA from 1 species